rnacentral:rRNA from 1 species
GAAACUGCGAAUGGCUCAUUAUAUAAGUUAUCGUUUAUUUGAUAGUGCCUUACUACUUGGAUAACCGUGGUAAUUCUAGAGCUAAUACAUGCUAAAAACCCCGACUUCGGAAGGGGUGUAUUUAUUAGAUACAAAACCAAUGCCCUUCGGGGCUCCUUGGUGAUUCAUGAUAACUAUACGAAUCGCACGGCCUUGCGCCGGCGAUGGUUCAUUCAAAUUUCUUCCCUAUCAACUUUCGAUGUUUGGGUAUUGGCCAAACAUGGUUGCAACGGGUAACGGAGGGUUAGGGCUCGACCCCGGAGAAGGAGCCUGAGAAACGGCUACUACAUCCAAGGAAGGCAGCAGGCGCGCAAAUUACCCAAUCCCGACUCGGGGAGGUAGUGACAAUAAAUACUGAUACAGGGCCCUUUCGGGCCUUGUAAUUGGAAUGAGUACAAUUUAAAUCCCUUAACGAGGAACAAUUGGAGGGCAGGUCUGGUGCCAGCAGCCGCGGUAAUUCCAGCUCCAAUAGCGUAUAUUAAAGUUGUUGUGGUUAAAAAGCUCGUAGUUGAACCUUGGGCCUGGCUGGCUGGUCCGCCUCAC